rnacentral:lncRNA from 1 species
UGGCUCAGAGGACAAUCAAAGGGUGUGUCCCACUUGUAAAUGUGACCACGGCCCCCCAAAACUCUUCACAUGUUAAGCUUUUGCAUUAUGUUACAAAUUCACAAAAUGUAAAAAACUAGUAGCAUUCAGACAGAUAUCUAUCUGUAAAAUCUUUCGCAAUAUUAAAACGGAGUGGGAAGCAAGAUUGCAACUUGACCUUCAGUUCAGCCCAACAUUCACCAAUAAAUUCCAUCACUCGCC